rnacentral:rRNA from 3 species
AAAACUUUCAACAACGGAUCUCUUGGUUCUGGCAUCGAUGAAGAACGCAGCGAAAUGCGAUAAGUAAUGUGAAUUGCAGAAUUCAGUGAAUCAUCGAAUCUUUGAACGCACAUUGCGCCCCUCGGAACCCCGAGGGGCAUGCCUGUUCGAGCGUCAUUA